CAGUAUUCUUGCCUUUAUAAUCCCAUGAACAGAGGAGCCUGGGGAUGGUCAAUAUGGUGGCAGAAUCCAGCACAACUGAAGCAACUAAAGAUGCAGCAUACACGUGGAAGGACCUAGAGACUGUCCUACAGAGUGAAGCUAUGGGUACUGUAUUCUAAAUGUAUCCGUUGAAGUUACUAUCAGAAUCCUAAAGGUAGGGCUUCUCAGGUCAUGCAAUGGUGAAGAAUCCACCUGCCAAUGCAGGAGAAGCAAGAGACAGGUUCAACCCCU